CUCUCUUCCUAAUCUGACUAAAGAGUUGCAACUUACUUCUGGAUUUUUGAGAAGAUGGCACAUGGCACAACUGAUGAAUAAGUCGAGGCUCUCAUUGACCAAAGCUUGAUGAAAGCUUUAUAUUAGCUCUCAGAUUGCAAACUGAAUAGCCAAAGAAAAUCUCAAGGAAGCAACGUACAAUGUCCAAAAAUCGUAAUUGAUGAUGUAAAGCCAAUAGCCGCGGAUGAUGACAACGAUGGUGAUCCCUUGUUUGAAUCUCUAAAUUGAU